GCGGACGUGGUGCACGGUGCGCCACUGCCCUGAAUUGAAUCCAUUCCUGUGGUAAGCAGUUGACCGGGGUUCGAAUCCCCGCGUCCGCC